rnacentral:rRNA from 1 species
GCAAAUAGGCCUUACUACCCUAAAGGCGCCAGAUCCUGUCUGAUCUUGGAUGCUAAGGAGGGUCAGUCCUGGUAAGUACUUGGAUUGGAGGCUGCUAAUGAAUGCUGGGUGCUGUAAGCA